rnacentral:RNase_P_RNA from 1 species
AGAGAAAAUUGGGUAGUUGCGCUCAUAUUUUUUUGAGUGAGGAAAGUCCGGGCUUCGCAGGGCAGGAUGCCGGAUAACGUCCGGUGGAGGCGACUCUAAGGAAAGUGCAACAGAAAAUUACCGCCUGUAUUUUACAGGUAAGGAUGAAAAAGUGAGGUAAGAGCUCACUAAGUAUGCGGGAGACCGUGUAUUUGUGCAAACCCCAUCCGAAGCAACACUAACCGAAAAAUUAAGUUUGCCCGACAUUUUUCGAAUUGUGGCUUGAUGCCCGAAGCAAUUCGGGUACCAGAUAGAUGACUACCUUAAAUGACAGAACCCGGCUUACAGAUUUUCUCUUUAC